UUAAGCGACUAAGCGUACACGGUGGAUGCCCUGGCAGUCAGAGGCGAUGAAGGACGUGCUAAUCUGCGAAAAGCGUCGGUAAGGUGAUAUGAACCGUUAUAACCGGCGAUGUCCGAAUGGGGAAACCCAGUGUGAUUCGUCACACUAUCGUUAACUGAAUACAUAGGUUAACGAGGCGAACCGGGGGAACUGAAACAUCUAAGUACCCCGAGGAAAAGAAAUCAACCGAGAUUCCCCCAGUAGCGGCGAGCGAACGGGGAGCAGCCCAGAGUCUGAAUCAGCUUGUGUGUUAGUGGAACGGUCUGGAAAGUCCGACGGUACAGGGUGAUAGUCCCGUACACCAAAAUGCACAGGCUGUGAACUCGAAGAGUAGGGCGGGACACGUGGUAUCCUGUCUGAAUAUGGGGGGACCAUCCUCCAAGGCUAAAUACUCCUGACUGACCGAUAGUGAACCAGUACCGUGAGGGAAAGGCGAAAAGAACCCCGGCGAGGGGAGUGAAAAAGAACCUGAAACCGUGUACGUACAAGCAGUGGGAGCACCUUUAUGGUGUGACUGCGUACCUUUUGUAUAAUGGGUCAGCGACUUAUAUUCUGUAGCAAGGUUAACCGUAUAGGGGAGCCGCAGGGAAACCGAGUCUUAACUGGGCGUUAAGUUGCAGGGUAUAGACCCGAAACCCGGUGAUCUAGCCAUGAGCAGGUUGAAGGUUGGGUAACACUAACUGGAGGACCGAACCGACUAAUGUUGAAAAAUUAGCGGAUGACUUGUGGCUGGGGGUGAAAGGCCAAUCAAACCGGGAGAUAGCUGGUUCUCCCCGAAAGCUAUUUAGGUAGCGCCUCGUGAACUCAUCUUCGGGGGUAGAGCACUGUUUCGGCUAGGGGGUCAUCCCGACUUACCAACCCGAUGCAAACUACGAAUACCGAAGAAUGUUAUCACGGGAGACACACGGCGGGUGCUAACGUCCGUCGUGAAGAGGGAAACAACCCAGACCGCCAGCUAAGGUCCCAAAGUCAUGGUUAAGUGGGAAACGAUGUGGGAAGGCACAGACAGCCAGGAUGUUGGCUUAGAAGCAGCCAUCAUUUAAAGAAAGCGUAAUAGCUCACUGGUCGAGUCGGCCUGCGCGGAAGAUGUAACGGGGCUAAACCAUGCACCGAAGCUGCGGCAGCGACGCUUAUGCGUUGUUGGGUAGGGGAGCGUUCUGUAAGCCUGCGAAGGUGACCUGUGAGGGUUGCUGGAGGUAUCAGAAGUGCGAAUGCUGACAUAAGUAACGAUAAAGCGGGUGAAAAGCCCGCUCGCCGGAAGACCAAGGGUUCCUGUCCAACGUUAAUCGGGGCAGGGUGAGUCGACCCCUAAGGCGAGGCCGAAAGGCGUAGUCGAUGGGAAACAGGUUAAUAUUCCUGUACUUGGUGUUACUGCGAAGGGGGGACGGAGAAGGCUAUGUUAGCCGGGCGACGGUUGUCCCGGUUUAAGCAUGUAGGCUGGUUAUCCAGGCAAAUCCGGAUAAUCAAGGCUGAGGUGUGAUGACGAGGCACUACGGUGCUGAAGUAACAAAUGCCCUGCUUCCAGGAAAAGCCUCUAAGCAUCAGGUAACACGAAAUCGUACCCCAAACCGACACAGGUGGUCAGGUAGAGAAUACCAAGGCGCUUGAGAGAACUCGGGUGAAGGAACUAGGCAAAAUGGUGCCGUAACUUCGGGAGAAGGCACGCUGGUGUGUAGGUGAAGUCCCUGCGGAUGGAGCUGAGACCAGUCGAAGAUACCAGCUGGCUGCAACUGUUUAUUAAAAACACAGCACUGUGCAAACACGAAAGUGGACGUAUACGGUGUGACGCCUGCCCGGUGCCGGAAGGUUAAUUGAUGGGGUUAUCCGUAAGGAGAAGCUCUUGAUCGAAGCCCCGGUAAACGGCGGCCGUAACUAUAACGGUCCUAAGGUAGCGAAAUUCCUUGUCGGGUAAGUUCCGACCUGCACGAAUGGCGUAAUGAUGGCCAGGCUGUCUCCACCCGAGACUCAGUGAAAUUGAACUCGCUGUGAAGAUGCAGUGUACCCGCGGCAAGACGGAAAGACCCCGUGAACCUUUACUAUAGCUUGACACUGAACAUUGAGCCUUGAUGUGUAGGAUAGGUGGGAGGCUUUGAAGCGUGGACGCCAGUCUGCGUGGAGCCAACCUUGAAAUACCACCCUUUAAUGUUUGAUGUUCUAACGUUGGCCCCUUAUCGGGGUUGCGGACAGUGUCUGGUGGGUAGUUUGACUGGGGCGGUCUCCUCCCAAAGCGUAACGGAGGAGCACGAAGGUUAGCUAAUCCUGGUCGGACAUCAGGAGGUUAGUGCAAUGGCAUAAGCUAGCUUGACUGCGAGCGUGACGGCGCGAGCAGGUGCGAAAGCAGGUCAUAGUGAUCCGGUGGUUCUGAAUGGAAGGGCCAUCGCUCAACGGAUAAAAGGUACUCCGGGGAUAACAGGCUGAUACCGCCCAAGAGUUCAUAUCGACGGCGGUGUUUGGCACCUCGAUGUCGGCUCAUCACAUCCUGGGGCUGAAGUAGGUCCCAAGGGUAUGGCUGUUCGCCAUUUAAAGUGGUACGCGAGCUGGGUUUAGAACGUCGUGAGACAGUUCGGUCCCUAUCUGCCGUGGGCGCUGGAGAAUUGAGGGGGGCUGCUCCUAGUACGAGAGGACCGGAGUGGACGCAUCACUGGUGUUCGGGUUGUCAUGCCAAUGGCACUGCCCGGUAGCUAAAUGCGGAAGAGAUAAGUGCUGAAAGCAUCUAAGCACGAAACUUGCCCCGAGAUGAGUUCUCCCUGAGACUAUAAGUCUCCUGAAGGAACGUUGAAGACGACGACGUUGAUAGGCCGGGUGUGUAAGCGCAGCGAUGCGUUGAGCUAACCGGUACUAAUGAACCGUGAGGCUUAACCUU
rnacentral:rRNA from 1 species